rnacentral:lncRNA from 1 species
GCUAAUCCUUCUAUUCUUUUGUUUUGCGGGGAACUAAUUUCUUUAUUCCUAGUAUAGUACUGGUAUUUCCUUGUACCUAAACAUUUGUUGACGAACAGUAAUACAAGUACCCAGCUAUAAAUAUUAUGGUAUGGAGGGAGUAAGUAGCUAAUAGUAGUUCGGCAGUAAUACUACCGUAGCUAGUACUCCUGAUGGCCAGCCGUCCAAAUGCGGCAUACCGUCGUGCAUGUGGCCCGGCGGUAAGCUGCAGCCCACGACCUCCCGUCCCCAUGCAUGCGCGCCCGCCACACAGCGCCAGCCAACGCGCUACACCGACCAGACACGCCGCGGAUGCAUGCGGCGCUUUUCCGGAGUCUCCAGUCUGAACGCGUGCAUGGCCGGCCGGCCACCAGCACGCAUACGGCGUACUACGUCGCCAAACAGAUAUCAUCAGUCCCGCCGGGCCUCGAAUCAGGGAUCUCCUCCUGGCCGCCCGCUCGAUCUCCGCGGGUCCAUCGGACCAUCGCCCUCGUCUGCCUGUCCGCCCACACGUCAACCG